AACAACUGCCAAUUUGGAAACAGCUCCAGAAAUUCAACUAGAAAUUGGAAAGCUUUGGGGAAUAUACAGGAUUUGCAGCUGCUAGAAUUUUUGAACUGCAAAGCAGGGAAGUCUAGAUUAUAUUAUUUCACAGUCAGGUUGGUGAUAGAAAUAAUUGGACUCAAAGUUGAUAUUGUUUUUCACCUUAUUUUCUCUUCUUGCUGUUGCUACUAUUUGGACACAAUAUUACAUGUAAAUACCCAUACGAUCAAAAAGAAUUUCAAGAUGGCCCAUCCACAUACUUCAAGCUGUAGACAACUGGCUCCUCUCUGCCCAUGUGAAGAAAAGAGUAUUGUUCUUCUGCUAUGUUCAUUUCUUGCUAUCAGACAUCCAUUUAAAAUUGUUAGAGAGGUCAGCAUAAUCGAAGGAAACUCUUCAAAAGCAGGACAUCAAUCACGGAACGUGUGCAUGAAGAAAUGACCUUCAUGUCUGUUUCUUGUUCUAAAUAAUUUCUUCUUGUACAAAUUCUGCAAGGUAUUGUUCCUCAGUUCCACAGUGUUUUCUAUUUGUCGGUGUCUGGAGCAAACUGAGGAUGUAGCAUUGAGCCAGCCUGCUCAAUGUGCAGGGCUCAUGCCUGCAAGCACUGGGACUCUAUAAGACUUAUCACUGUGCGUUUCUGUGUCAUAUCAGCAAGCUCAUCGGCAGAGAUACAUUUUGACUGAGUAACCCUGAGGUAGACAAUGCUUAAUUCUUCAUUUCAAAAUCUUCCAGGAAUGGAAAAAUGAUUCAGCUGGAAGGCAUCUGCCCUGUUAGCACCCUAUUAUCCUAACACAGUGUUUACUCUGUUACUGGUUUCAGUUAUCCUUACACAGUUUGAUAAUCAUUUCUGAAACUGGCCUGGUGUAUAACUUAACAGCGUUUCACAGUAGGUUAAUGAUUGGUUUUAACAUGAUACCUAUGGAUUCACGUCUUUCUUUCUGCCUAGUCCCUUUAGUCUCUACUAUUGAGAAAUAUACUUAGAAAAGAUAUAAUUGGAGGAUAAAGUAUUAAAAGUUGAGAAGCCAUGUGUUAAAAACAGUUGAAAGUUGUUUUAAUAGAUACCUAUUACUAAGGUAUUGAGAGAAAUGUAUGUGUUGAAAAAGGAGCAUUUAGAUAGACAUUACACACACAAGUGCACAUAUAUCACACACGUGCACACAGAUGCAAUCUACAGUGCGUGUUUGAGUGUGUUAAUGUAUAAACGUCUGUAAAAUAUGAUAGACUUAUAUUAAGAAAUAUGAUCUUCCUUGCAAAUGAAAUAAUCCCAUUUACCAGUCAUGUAGCAUUCUAUAGCCCCACACCUAUUUAUAAAAUAUUCUAUGAAAAUAAAGUCAUUAUUUUUUAAUAGUUAUUGCA
rnacentral:lncRNA from 1 species